UACGAAGGGGGCUAGCGUUGCUCGGAAUCACUGGGCGUAAAGCGCACGUAGGCGGAUUGCUAAGUCAGGGGUGAGAUCCUGGAGCUCAACUCCAGAACUGCCUUUGAUACUGGCGAUCUCGAGUCCGGGAGAGGUGAGUGGAACUGCGAGUGUAGAGGUGAAAUUCGUAGAUAUUCGCAAGAACACCAGUGGCGAAGGCGGCUCACUGGCCCGGUACUGACGCUGAGGUGCGAAAGCGUGGGGAGCAAACAGG
rnacentral:rRNA from 1 species